AGCAGCCGCGGUAAUUCCAGCUCCAAUAGCGUAUAUUAAAGUUGUUGCAGUUAAAAAGCUCGUAGUUGAAUUUCGGGAUCAAUAUGUUGGUCGUGCCUUGGUACGUACUGGCAUUAUCGAUUCCUACCUUCUGAAGAACUUCGAUGUCAUUAAUUUGGUGUCUUGGGAAAUCAGGACUGUUACUUUGAAAAAAUUAGAGUGUUUAAAGCAGGCUCGCGCUUGAAUACAUUAGCAUGGAAUAAUGAAAUAGGACGUUUGAUUCUAUUUUGUUGGUUUCUAGGAUCGACGUAAUGAUUAAUAGGGAUAGUUGGGGGGCAUUAGUAUUCAAUUGUCAGAGGUGAAAUUCUUGGAUUUAUUGAAGACUAACUACUGCGAAAGCAUUUGCCAAGGAUGUUUUCAUUAAUCAAGAACGAAAGUUAGGGGAUCGAAGACGAUCAGAUACCGUCGUGGUCUUAACCAUAAACUAUGCCGACUAGGGAUCGGAUGAUGUUAAUU
rnacentral:rRNA from 1 species